rnacentral:rRNA from 1 species
UACGUAGGGGGCUAGCGUUGUCCGGAAUCAUUGGGCGUAAAGAGCGCGUAGGCGGCCAGAUAAGUCCGGUGUGAAAGUCACAGGCUCAACCUGUGAAUGCCGCUGGAAACUGUAUGGCUAGAGUCCGGAAGGGGCGAGUGGAAUUCCUGGUGUAGCGGUGAAAUGCGCAGAUAUCAGGAGGAACACCGGUGGCGAAGGCGGAUCUCUGGGCCUGUUCUGACGCUGAGGCGCGAAAGCUAGGGGAGCGAACAGG